GGAGCAACGCCGCGUGAGUGAAGAAGGCUUUCGGGUCGUAAAACUCUGUUGUUGGAGAAGAAUGGUCGGCAGUAGUAACUGUUGUCGGCGUGACGGUAUCCAACCAGAAAGCCACGGCUAACUACGUGCCAGCAGCCGCGGUAAUACGUAGGUGGCAAGCGUUAUCCGGAUUUAUUGGGCGUAAAGCGAGCGCAGGCGGUUUUUUAAGUCUGAUGUGAAAGCCCUCGGCUUAACCGAGGAAGUGCAUCGGAAACUGGGAAACUUGAGUGCAGAAGAGGACAGUGGAACUCCAUGUGUAGCGGUGAAAUGCGUAGAUAUAUGGAAGAACACCAGUGGCGAAGGCGGCUGUCUGGUCUGUAACUGACGCUGAGGCUCGAAAGCAUGGGUAGCGAACAGGAUUAGAUACCCUGGUAGUCCAUGCCGUAAACGAUGAAUGCUAGGUGUUGGAGGGUUUCCGCCCUUCAGUGCCGCAGCUAACGCAUUAAGCAUUCCGCCUGGGGAUUACGACCGCAAGGUUGAAACUCAAAGGAAUUGACGGGGGCCCGCACAAGCGGUGGAGCAUGUGGUUUAAUUCGAAGC
rnacentral:rRNA from 2 species